AUUCUAGAGCUAAUACAUGCUGUAAGCCCGACUUUUCGGAAGGGCCGUAUUUAUUAGAUAACAGACCAAUGCCCCCCCGGGCUUUGUGGUGACUCAUAGUAACUAAUCGGAUCGCAUGGGCCUGUCCCGCGACAAACCAUUCAAGUUUCUGCCCCAUCAGCUUUCGAUGGUAGUGUAUUGGACUACCAUGGCUUUUACGGGUAACGGAGGAUUAGGGUUCGAUUCCGGAGAGGGAGCCUGAGAAACGGCUACCACAUCUAAGGAAGGCAGCAGGCGCGUAAAUUACCCAAUCCUAAUUCAGGGAGGUAGUG
rnacentral:rRNA from 1 species